rnacentral:rRNA from 1 species
CCUACGGGUGGCAGCAGUGAGGAAUAUUGGUCAAUGGGCGCGAGCCUGAACCAGCCAAGUCGCGUGAGGGAAGACGGUCCUAUGGAUGGUAAACCUCUUUUGUCGGGGAGCAAAAGACGCCACGCGUGGCGUUCCGAGAGUACCCGAAGAAAAAGCAUCGGCAAACUCCGUGACAGCAGCCGCGGUAAUAGGGAGGAUGCGAGGGUUGUCCGGAUGUAUUGGGUUUAAAGGGUGCGGAGGCGGAAGAUCAAGUCAGCGGUAAAAUUGAGAGGCUCAACCCAUUGGAGCCGUUGAAACUGGUUUUCUUGAGUGAGUGAGAAGUUAGCGGAAUGCGUGGUGUAGCGGUGAAAUGCAUAGAUAUCACGCAGAACUCCGAUUGCGAAGGCAGCAUACCGGCGCUCAACUGACGCUCAUGCACGAAAGUGUGGGUAUCGAACAGGAUUAGAUACCCGAGUAGUC